rnacentral:rRNA from 1 species
GCGGCAGGCCUAACACAUGCAAGUCGAACGGUAACAGGAAGCAGCUUGCUGCUUCGCUGACGAGUGGCGGACGGGUGAGUAAUGUCUGGGAAACUGCCUGAUGGAGGGGGAUAACUACUGGAAACGGUAGCUAAUACCGCAUAACGUCGCAAGACCAAAGAGGGGGACCUUCGGGCCUCUUGCCAUCGGAUGUGCCCAGAUGGGAUUAGCUAGUAGGUGGGGUAACGGCUCACCUAGGCGACGAUCCCUAGCUGGUCUGAGAGGAUGACCAGCCACACUGGAACUGAGACACGGUCCAGACUCCUACGGGAGGCAGCAGUGGGGAAUAUUGCACAAUGGGCGCAAGCCUGAUGCAGCCAUGCCGCGUGUAUGAAGAAGGCCCUCGGGUUGUAAAGUACUUUCAGCGGGGAGGAAGGCGAUAAGGUUAAUAACCUUGUCGAUUGACGUUACCCGCAGAAGAAGCACCGGCUAACUCCGUGCCAGCAGCCGCGGUAAUACGAAGGGUGCAAGCGUUAAUCGGAAUUACUGGGCGUAAAGCGCACGCAGGCGGUCUGUCAAGUCGGAUGUGAAAUCCCCGGGCUCAACCUGGGAACUGCAUUCGAAACUGGCAGGCUAGAGUCUUGUAGAGGGAGGUAGAAUUCCAGGUGUAGCGGUGAAAUGCGUAGAGAUCUGGAGGAAUACCGGUGGCGAAGGCGGCCCCCUGGACAAAGACUGACGCUCAGGUGCGAAAGCGUGGGGAGCAAACAGGAUUAGAUACCCUGGUAGUCCACGCCGUAAACGAUGUCGACUUGGAGGUUGUGCCCUUGAGGCGUGGCUUCCGGAGCUAACGCGUUAAGUCGACCGCCUGGGGAGUACGGCCGCAAGGUUAAAACUCAAAUGAAUUGACGGGGGCCCGCACAAGCGGUGGAGCAUGUGGUUUAAUUCGAUGCAACGCGAAGAACCUUACCUACUCUUGACAUCCAGAGAACUUUCCAGAGAUGGAUUGGUGCCUUCGGGAACUCUGAGACAGGUGCUGCAUGGCUGUCGUCAGCUCGUGUUGUGAAAUGUUGGGUUAAGUCCCGCAACGAGCGCAACCCUUAUCCUUUGUUGCCAGCGGUCCGGCCGGGAACUCAAAGGAGACUGCCAGUGAUAAACUGGAGGAAGGUGGGGAUGACGUCAAGUCAUCAUGGCCCUUACGAGUAGGGCUACACACGUGCUACAAUGGCGCAUACAAAGAGAAGCGACCUCGCGAGAGCAAGCGGACCUCAUAAAGUGCGUCGUAGUCCGGAUUGGAGUCUGCAACUCGACUCCAUGAAGUCGGAAUCGCUAGUAAUCGUGGAUCAGAAUGCCACGGUGAAUACGUUCCCGGGCCUUGUACACACCGCCCGUCACACCAUGGGAGUGGGUUGCAAAAGAAGUAGGUAGCUUAACCUUCGGGAGGGCGCUUACCACUUUGUGAUUCAUGACUGGGGUGAAG